AAGGGAUCAUUUCAGGGAUAAUUUCUACAGAAAUUCUGGAAGAAACUAGAGAAGUUUCUCUGCGCAGGUAGAGCACCAGAGGCGUGUUCUCUCCUGAACGCGAGGCUGGUCUUGGUUUGCAACUGCCAUUUGCCACCGAUGGGCAUUCGUUUCCCUCCAUCAGGGUAAGAUGGAGAGGACGCAGCCUGAGUGGU
ensembl:snoRNA U3 Small nucleolar RNA U3